UUUAGGUGCACUUUAAUACUACUGGUACUAAAGUUGAAGUCGAUGUACUCGAUUUUCACACUAGAUAACGUGGAACUACGAUGAAAAUUUGUAGUUAUUUGCAGUCGGUUGUCAGUGCCGUAUCAAUUUAUGAAAUACGUAAUAAUCCUUUCUUCGAUACCCUAAAAGAUACCAAGGAACAAGUUACGACAUGUUCAGUGUCCCUGUUCGUUAUGUUAACACUUCUGGACGUGGUGGUCUUGAUGGUAAGUUUGAUCACCUAUCUAAACAAAAGAAGAGGAUAUAUAGAGCUUUUGGUUAAAGCAUUAGUAGCUCAGUUGCAUACUGUCUCAGUGAUAGCACCGUCUGUCUUUGCUGUAGCCGAAUAUCCAAAGGAAGAAAGAAAACCAAGCUAUAACCAUUC